CACGGCACCUACCCCCUCCUGCCCCGAUCCAAACCCCCACCUCCCUCCACCUUCUACCACCGCCGCUGCUAGACCACCGGUCUCCGUCUCGCUGCCCCGCCCCUGUCCACCUUCUGCCGCCGCCAGAGCACCGCCGUAGGUUGCCACCCGCCGCGCCACUCCAUCUCCUUCUACCGUCGCCCCUGCCACACCGCCCCUCCCAUGCAUCGCUUUGCCCAACCCAGUUCCCUAGUGUGCCACUACUCCUCCCCGCAACCACCUGCUUGUCCUCUUCGGCGCAGCCCAAGCGAUCCUGGCGGCCCUCCGAGGACUGGCCGUUCCUCUAUGGGCCAGAUCCGGCGAGAUUUUACCAAUCCCGCACCUCCUCGAGCCAGAUCCGGUGAGAUCCAUCGGCUCUUUCCUCUCCGACGACGGCCCAAAAUCCACGGCCCUAGAGCUGCCUCGGGGUCCUCCUCUCCGUCCACGGCCAGACGCAGGCCAGCCUCGUCGUCUCCUACCUCCGCCGGGAACGGGAUCCCCGCUCACGUGCCCCCCAGCUUCUCUUCCGGCCAGGACAAACGGCCUCGAUGCAGCUCUUCGGUGGGUGAAGUGCGGUCCACGACGAGCGCCAAUGCAGUGCGGUGCUCUCCAAUUCUUCAGAUUUGUUUUGGGCAAUUCAGUUUGGAGCUUCGCGUCCGCCCCACAGCCUCGGUGGUCUCCCACCUCCCUACUUCCAUCCUCGGCGGCCGACCCACAACUGAGGACGCACGGUUCCAGCCACCUGCCCCUCCCCACGCCGAUGCGCUGGACGACAACAGCACAACAGCACCGGAGGUGGCGACAUGGCCAUCUCAAUCUUGUCCUUGCGCCACACCAUGGACCCCGUUCGAUAGCGACCUCCCCGACGACCAAGUGUUGCAGCCCACUUUUUUCUUUUUGCAAUUCGCAUGUUAAAGUUUCUUUUUGCAGUGCGUGUGUGUUGUUCGGUGUGAGCUCGAACGAAGACACAGAUCAGUCCACUCUGUUCUCUAAUGCAGAAAAAGGAGGAAAAACCAAUUAUAAAAAAAGAAACGCAAGACUCGCUCUCCUGCAUGCAGUUCGUUUAGAGUUUGAUUGAUGUCCUGUAUUGUGGGUCAUGGAGUUCGAUUGGGGCUCACCUAGUAAAGUUCAUAAAAAAAUGUCCAUCGAGAUUUGCAGUGUAGUGCAUAGUAUAGAGGAGUUUAUGUUGUAAAAACUUCUACAAAGCAUGAUGUAGUUUCUCUGUUAAAAACCCCUUGGUGGUUAUGACAAAGAAAGCAUGCAGUUUGUUUCGAAUUGGGUCGCGGCUCACAUCCUCCGAUGCAAAAAUCGAAUUGCACUUGUUCC